UAUAUAUUACAAUAGCUUCCGCAGUCACUAUGAUAUUUCUACGAGUUUCCAAACGGGCGACAAAACGACGAACGACUGGAUCGUUACUCAGCGGGUUUCAGCGCGAUAUUUCAAUUUCACUGGAAAGGAAUGACAUUGGUACUACUUUAUAUAUGCAUACAGUUCUCAGUUAUAUAUCUAUAAGUUAUAUAUUUGAGUUCUCAGUUAUAUGUCUAUAACUACGGAGUAAUUUUGUUCAAGAUACUUUUCGGGUUCGAGGGAACAACUGCUGCAACAUAUCGAAUAUGGAGUUUGUCAAUGUUUAUCCAGUGACCUCUGACCUCCUUUUGGAAUAUUUAGGGAAGAUCGUCCGAGACGUCAAAUUAUAUUAUCCAAAUAAUGGCUGCAGUACCGUCGGCGUUUGGUAUCCGUGGCACAUGGUCCUCGAGGGAUUUUAUGUCGGUGGGAAACGUGGAAAUCCUUAAAAACAUGGGAAAAGGUUCACAUUGGUGGUGAAGUAAGCUCAUCCUUUCACGAAGAAGAGCCACGGAAGACGUUCAAAUAAGGAAGGAUGUUUCUAAGCGGAAAUUCGAAAAAUAUUCAUGCUACAAAAAGAAUACAAUGGCGAAGAUAUAAGAAUUUCAACGUUAUAAUAUGAUAAAGGAUCUAAAGCUGUCAUAUAGCUGCUUUGAAAUCCAAAAUUCAAAUACGAGGAUUUAUUUGUAAAAUCGACCAGAUCAAAUGGGACGACGAAUGGGUUGGAAAAGAAAUUUAUUAUAUAAUUUAUAACAAUAAUAUUAAUAACAAGAAGAAGACAUUCGAUUUGGUACGUUCGACACGUAUAUGUACAUAUUAUGACAAGAUACAGAAAUGAUUGUGCUUUUUUUUUCAUAAUACUGGAUACGUCAAGAAAUUUAUAUAUGUAUAAUAUACAUACAUAUAUAUAUUUUUAUAUAUAUUUUUGGAGAUUACACGGCCAAGAAAUUUUCUUGGAAAUUUAACGUGGAUAGUAUUUCACGGUUAUGUGUUAUGCGUGUAUGUUUACUUUUCUUGGAAAUGACGAAAGGGUCCAUCAGGUUGUUAUCAUUAUAAAUCAAAAUUUUCCUACGGUAUUUGUCAUCUCGGGCUUGGAAAAGUGUUUGUAAAAUUCCAUUACGUGUCCUAUUAGUCGUGAAGUCUGGUAUGAGAAAUAACGUUUGUCCCUUUUUCAAUAUUUUUGCGCGGAUAGCUUAGCGCGUUUAACAGUAACAUAUACGUUUUCGGAGGAAAGACUUAUUCAUGAAAUAUAUAUAUAUAUAUGUUUAUUAUAUAUGAUACGUGCCUUUUGUGCGCUCUCCAAGAUAUAUAUUCAGAACGAAUUCUCAUAUCGAUAUUCAUCUUUGUUUAAAGGAACUUCUGUAUAAAAUGUUGUCGUUAAUUUUUUUUGCCUAAUGGUUGCAAAUUUUUUUCAUUAAAAUUUGUCUCACAUUGAAUAUCUAUUCAAACGAUUCGUCAGUUCAUUGAAUCCGUACUUCCACUUUUGUAUACAAUAGGGGAUGCCAGGGCAUGAAUGAUGUGUUAUUAAAUACAAUAACUUAAUCAGUGUAUUACAUCUUUUCGGAGACAAAGGCAGAGCAUCGAGUACUGGUACAGAAAUUAAUUAGUCUUCUUGGUAUAGAAGGGGUGAAAGGUGGAGCUGAUGGCUGAAAGCAGGCGAAAAUAUGGAAGAUGGGGUGGAGGAAUGAAAUUUGAAUGGAGAAGAGAGAAGAAAUGAGGAAAACGUGAAGUGGAAGCAGGAAGAAGAGAAGGAGAGAGGAUAAUAAAGGAAGUAAAAUAAAGUGUGAAGGAAGAGAGUUGAAAAGAGAUUUAAAAGGGGGAGAAAGCAUACAGUGAAAGGUUGGAAUGGGGGGAUGCUGCAUGACUUGUGUCCUUUUUGGUUCUUGGGCAAAGUCCACAAUUCUAGAGAUGGGGGACCCAGUCACGUUGAUGGUACGAAUCUGUGUGAGGAAUGAAAAAAAUGGUUUAAAGAAAAUUUUUCAUGCUAUGUGCAGAAUAACUGGAUAUACAGGAACAUGCAUAUGGGCUUACAGAAGGCUGUUGUAUUCCCAAACCACACACUCAUGAAAUCUAUCUAAGCUGGAUUUAACGACUUUCCCAGAGAACAGUCUCUUGGUGGUGAUUCCAAAAACUUUAAUGUCCACUGAGGGACUUGGGAGGACGUAGAAAUUUAUAGCCCUUAGACAAAGAAAAAGAGGAAAAAAUAGAUAUUUGUGUCUCGUUGAAAGCCCUUUCACGACUUAGGAUCUGAGAUUUAUCUUAAAUCAAAGUUUAUCUUAUUGCAGAGGAAAAAUUUUCUUUUACACGUAUAUCGGAGUGUACAUUUUGAUUAAGGAUAUUUUUCAAUUGAGCAAUUAGAUAUAAUUUUUUGAAAAGGUAUUUCAUUUUUAAUAUGCUCUGAUUAAACGUGAUAUUAAGCUUAUACCUUUUUAUCUAACUAAAUUGACCGGUUAGUCGAAGUGGGGUUUUUUAUUUUUAAGAUUAAGUAUAUCUUCGUGUUGGUAUGCUGGGCAGAUACGCUCUCUUACUUAGGAGUCAUUUGUUUCCCUGACUUGAAAUUAUUAGACGCUCUUAUCGUUCCACUAUUUUACGAAAAGCGGUUUGAAAGCUCGCGCCAAUUCUUCUGUAAAACGAUAAAUUUCCGGCUGUACCCUUCCCUUUCACUCGUUUAUCUCUCUCCGCUCGUCGCUCGGAAUUUUUGUGAUAUCAGCUAACGCUUGAAACACGUCGAUUUCUUUCGCGGGAAGCGAAGUCUAAUGGUUCCGCGUAUAAAUUAUAUUUAGAGCUUUCUGGCAUUGAGCCGGAGAAGUUGAUAUUUUGAAAAUUUCAUAGUGAAUCUCUGCUUUCACUCUUUUUUCCUUGAAUUACAUUUAAAAGUUUAUGAUCACACAAAUCCUCCAUUUGGAAGGCAAAUCCAAGCAAAUCUCAGUCUUCGAAUGAGCAAAGAUAAUUCAUAGCUCAUAUAACUCUAAUCGUAAUUCACAUUACUGUCGUUAUCAAUCAUACCCAUAUCUUUGCAUUGGAUCGUUUGAAAUUAUUUAAUUACUCCCCUAUCACCCCCACGCUUUCGUUACCUUAAUUAUUUUAUAUUACAACCCAACUCGUUAAAAGGUUUAGUCGUUUUAAUUAAUACCCGCACGAACGUGGCGCCAUCUCUGUUUAUUCAAACGAUUCACUCAACGGGUACUAUUAAUAAAUUCACGAAGAAUCACAGUGGAAGCAUUUUCAAUUUCAUUUCGUUUUCGGUUGAUAUUCUUUAUCCUGAAUGUAUUCUCGCUUUUAUUUCAAAUAUAUUCUCUACUUAAACUUUAUUAUUGUAACGCCGAUCAGUCGCAUUCUUCAAAAAAACUUUAUAGUCAACUUUACAUCACGCGUGCCUUGUGAACCUUAUUAAAUUUCUUACUUUA